rnacentral:rRNA from 1 species
CCUACGGGAGGCAGCAGUAGGGAAUCUUCGGCAAUGGACGAAAGUCUGACCGAGCAACGCCGCGUGAGUGAAGAAGGUUUUCGGAUCGUAAAACUCUGUUGGUAGAGAAGAACGUUGGUGAGAGUGGACAGCUCAUCAAGUGACGGUAACUACCCAGAAAGGGACGGCUAACUACGUGCCAGCGGCCGCGGUAAUACGUAGGUCCCGAGCGUUAUCCGUAUUUAUUGGGCGUAAGGCGAGCGCAGGUGGUUUAUUAAGUCUGGGGUAAAAGGCAGGGGCUAAACCAUUGUAUGCAUUGGAAACUGGUAGACUUGAGAGCAGGAGAGGAGAGUGGAAUGCGAUGUGUAGCGGUGAAAUGCUUAGAUAUAUGGAGGAACACCGGUGGCGAAAGCGGCUCUCUGGCCUGUAACUGACACUGAGGCUCGAAAGCGUGGGGAGCAAACAGGAUUAGAUACCCUUGUAGUC